rfam:Schistosoma haematobium scaffold1689_8, whole genome shotgun sequence.
AUUCAGCUGACGAGCCCACAUUGGAUGAGACGUACGUCCUGAAU